GGCUCGGUGGUGGAAGGUCCACAUCUGUAUGACUUGAGAGAAUCCAGGAAGGUUACCCAGAAGACGCUCGUUCGAGUCGAGCCUGAGCCC